rnacentral:rRNA from 16 species
UUGACCUCGGAUCAGGUAGGAAUACCCGCUGAACU